CCCCCGCGCCUGACACUGACAACUUGGGAAUUACUAGGAGCAGAGCCUGGCAUGUGCGGGAGCCACCCUAAGAGAGACCAUCCCAGAAGAGAGGUGCUAACUAGGUGAAGACAUAUGACUCUGAGCUCCACUUCCUAAUUCUAAUGGAGGGAGAGUCUGGCAUGGAGCCAGGAAGCAGAAAAGGCAUGAAAGGAAGAACUAAUUUGGAGCUGGCGCAGACAGACGUGUUGGAUCCCUGAUCCGGGAAGAUCCCACAUGCCAUGGGGUGACUAAGCCCAUGCACCACAGCUGUUGAGCCUACGUUCUAGAGCCCAUGAGCCACAACUACUGAACCCACAUGCACAACUGCAGAAGCCCACACACCCUAGAGCCUGUGCUCCGAAACAAGAGAAGCCCCCUCAAUGAGAAGCCUGCUCACCGCAACAAGAGACGAGCCUCCACUCUCUGCAACUAGAGAAAAGCCCGCACAGCAAGAAAGACCCAGCACAGCCAAAAAUAAAUAAUAAAUGAGUGUACACAGCACCUCGCAGAGGAAUAGAAACCACCCUUCUCAUUGCUCAGAUGCCAACAAAGGCGCUGAACCUUCCGUCGGGAGCCCCCAGGUG